rnacentral:rRNA from 1 species
AUUGAACGCUGGCGGAAUGCUUUACACAUGCAAGUCGAACGGUAGCACAGAGAGCUUGCUCUCGGGUGACGAGUGGCGGACGGGUGAGUAACGUCUGGGAAACUGCCCGAUGGAGGGGGAUAACUACUGGAAACGGUAGCUAAUACCGCAUAACGUCGCAAGACCAAAGUGGGGGACCUUCGGGCCUCACACCGUCGGAUGUGCCCAGAUGGGAUUAGCUAGUAGGUGGGGUAAUGGCUCACCUAGGCGACGAUCCCUAGCUGGUCUGAGAGGAUGACCAGCCACACUGGAACUGAGACACGGUCCAGACUCCUACGGGAGGCAGCAGUGGGGAAUAUUGCACAAUGGGCGCAAGCCUGAUGCAGCCAUGCCGCGUGUAUGAAGAAGGCCUUCGGGUUGUAAAGUACUUUCAGCGGGGAGGAAGGCGGUGAAGUUAAUAGCUUCACCGAUUGACGUUACCCGCAGAAGAAGCACCGGCUAACUCCGUGCCAGCAGCCGCCGUAA